CGGAAGCCGCGAGGCAGAGCAAAUACUCAAAAAGACCGUCCCAGUUCGGAUUGCAGGCUGCAACCCGCCUGCAUGAAGUUGGAAUCGCUAGUAAUCGCGGAUCAGCAUGCCGCGGUGAAUACGUUCCCGGGCCUUGUACACACCGCCCGUCACACCAUGGGAGUCAGUAACGCCCGAAGUCAGUGACCGAACCUGAGAGGGAAGGAGCUGCCGAAGGCGGGACGGAUAACUGGGGUGAAGUCGUAACAAGGUAGC
rnacentral:rRNA from 1 species